AUGUUAGCGUAAGGGAAAGGUCGUAGUCAAGCCCUACAACCACGCGAUCUCUAAGUCAGCCACGAAUCGGCUAUCCCAACUAACGGCGGGAAAGACUCCACGGAGGGUGUAAGACCCGUGUGGGCGCGUGUCAAUGUUGUGUGGGUUCGGCCUCUUCCCUGAGAGUCGCGUUGCUUGAGCAUGCAGCGCUAAGCAGGUCGUAAACUCGAUCUAAGGCUAAAUAUAUCCACAGGUCCGAUAGCAAACAAGUACCGUGAGGGAAAGUUGAAAAGCACUCUGAAGAGAGAGUCAAAAGACCGUGAAACCGCUCAGAGUAUAAGCCCAUGAAGCGUGGAAGGCUUUCGCAGCGGCGUGCAUCCCUUGUGGGUGUACGACAAGUCAUUGAGAAAGGUUCGUCAGGUUGUGGCAUUGAGUUGAUAAACGCCGACGUGCGGGUCGAGGGCGGGGGCUUGCGGUGUCAAAGCCGUGGGUUCUCGUCUCUCUUCUUAUGAAUGGACGAUCAAGGUCAUUGACUUAAUGCGGUUAUGCCCACCACAGUUCGUUGUGAGGUCACCCACAGGCUCAAACAGUCGAUCGCGUGUUCUUCGCGCUUUGCGUGUCUAGGUCCUCUGACAUCCUCGUCGGUUGCUAGCACGUGUUGCGUUGUUGGGCCGGGCGGCGAACCGAGUAUAUCCUGGUAUGAUCCUCGUGCGACGAUCUGAUUCUGACCGAGUCGGCAACCUAGGCUUCGCCCAUGUGCCGGGCGGAGCCGCCCAAACACGGCUGUCUGAUUCCCUGGAUGAUCCCCUUUAUUGGGGGUCAACUAAAAUCACUGUCGAUGGUAGCCAAUGACUCGAAUGGUGUUCAGUCCAGCAUCAUCGGUCACGUCUCGAAACACGGGCCAAGGAGUAUAGCAUGUGUGCAAGUCUAAGGGUCUCACAAAACCCGCAGGCGAAGUGAAAGCAAAGGUGUGUCGGGAAAGCUCCGGCGAUCCCGUCAGCCUGAUGGUAAAAUGUCUGGCUUAAACCGAGCUGAUCCUGUUCUGCUGGCAUUGUCUCAAGGCAGGCGCAAGCUCCGGGCUCACGUAACAACACUGGUUCCCCGCUUCGGCGGUGGGACUGUGUCGUGAGCACUGUGGAGCAUGCAUGCUAUAACCCGAAAGAUAGUGAACUAUGCCUGGCGAGGGCGAAGCCCCAGGAAACUG
rnacentral:rRNA from 1 species